CCUACGGGUGGCAGCAGUGAGGAAUAUUGGUCAAUGGGCGUAAGCCUGAACCAGCCAAGUCGCGUGAGGGAUGAAGGUUCUAUGGAUCGUAAACCUCUUUUAUACGGGAAUAAAGUGUGGGACGUGUCCUGUUUUGUAUGUACCUUAUGAAUAAGGAUCGGCUAACUCCGUGCCAGCAGCCGCGGUAAUACGGAGGAUGCGAGCGUUAUUCGGAUUUAUUGGGUUUAAAGGGUGCGUAGGCGGCCUUUUAAGUUAGCGGUGAAAGUCGUGGGGCUAACCAUGGACUGGCCGUUGAAACUGGGAGGCUUGAGUAUGUUUGAGGCAGGCGGAAUGCGUGGUGUAGCGGUGAAAUGCUUAGAUAUCACGCAGAACCCCGAUUGCGAAGGCAGCCUGCCAAGCCAUGACUGACGCUGAUGCACGAAAGCGUGGGGAUCAAACAGGAUUAGAUACCCCUGUAGUC
rnacentral:rRNA from 1 species